GCAGAACGCGAAGAACCUUACCAGCCCUUGACAUGGUCGGACGGUCACCAGAGAUGGUUUCCUUCACUUCGGUGACUGACACGCAGGUGCUGCAUGGCUGUCGUCAGCUCGUGUCGUGAGAUGUUGGGUUAAGUCCCGCAACGAGCGCAACCCUCGCCCUUAGUUGCCAUCAUUCAGUUGGGCACUCUAAGGGGACUGCCGGUGAUAAGCCGGAGGAAGGUGGGGAUGACGUCAAGUCUUCAUGGCCCUUACGGGCUGGGCUACACACGUGCUACAAUGGUGGUGACAGAGGGCUGCUAGGCCGCGAGGCCAUGCUAAUCCCGAAAAGCCAUCUCAGUUCGGAUUGCACUCUGCAACUCGGGUGCAUGAAGUCGGAAUCGCUAGUAAUCGCAGAUCAGCACGCUGCGGUGAAUACGUUCCCGGGUCUUGUACACACCG
rnacentral:rRNA from 1 species